CUCAGAGUAGUUAGGACAAGACCACGGGAGAGAGUUUAUUCAUAUGGGAGAGGAAGGAAGGUGUGUGCUGUAAUCUAUUUAAAAACAAACAGCAUAGCAGCUUCAGAACAGAAGAUGGGAGGGGGGAUGUAAAAGAACAAAGGGAAACAAGUUAGAACAUUACGUUUAGUCACCUAUAUCUGCCGAGGAGUGAAGAUGGAGGGGCCAACAUAUUCCGGCAAGAUCCACAGGCUCUGAAAAGAAAAUUGACGCUCAAGCUGGUGACCCCAAGAUGGAGACAGCUAGGCUGAAAUGGCAUCUCCAAAAUAAGAGGACCAAAGUGGGCCAUGAGGAGGGGGUCUUGGAAAGAGAAGGAAGGAUCCAUCCAGGGGGCAUUUCAACAGACAUAACACGACAUCCAUUCAUUUCAUACAGAAUUGUUAAUUUGGCUCUUCCCUUGCACAAAUGAAAAGUUGGAAAGUUUCAGCCUAAAAUGAGUGCAACUGAGGCCAGAGUUUAAUUUUUGGACAGGCUCAACAUUUUCCGUGCCUGACUCAGCUGUGUUAAGGUGGAAAAACUGAGGCUCAGAGACCUGGAUCACUCAGCUGGUAAACAGCAGUGCAAGUUUAGGAUACUGUUCUGCUUUCAACUCAUGUACACCAUCACAUGCAUAGAGCAUGCUCAGAUAGCAUGGAAGCCUGGCUUUGAAUAGUUUGGGUAAUUCAUUCAGCUGCAAAAUGGGACAAAUCAUACUGCUCUUUGGGGAGCAAUCAUUGCAAGGAGAACAAGAAAUGAUGUAUACAGUAGGCACUCAAAAACCAGAGCUCUCUCAGUGUCCCUGAUUCCUCUUGAUGACUGGACAACAUAUAGUCCUUAACCCCCAAACGUAAGCCAAGAGACCCUCAAGGCCAACCUAGGAUGCGUGCCCUGCGUUGGGUCCCCCCACAUGAGCCUGUGUAGGAGUCUCGGGCUUCACCAGGCCCCACCCUCCACAGUUGCUUUAUUCUCUGAGUGAUGUUGCCUGUCAGGCACCAUCCUGGCUGGUCACCGAGGCUUUGCAGGGGCCUCCAGUCCUUCUGGUGCCCGGUACCCCGGGGCUGACACCUUGAUAGCUGCGCCACUGCUCUCUCAUUACCUAGCGGGAGGGUCACCUUUCUGACAGACGGCUUUGAAUUCUUUAUUAAAGAUUUUUUUUUUCAUAGAAAAGACAGAUUACUUUACAGUUCUGACAUGCUCUACUUAUUAUGACAUGAAACAGCAUUCUUGUUUCUUUUGCUUGGGGACACGUAACUGCUGCCUUUGGCUCAUGCCAAUAUAUCAUGUCACUAUGAUGUACUGGUUAUUUGGUUGGACCUUCUAUAACCUUUUCACAUUCAUUCAUUCAUUCAUUCAUUCACUCAACGAUGCAUUUGACUAUCCACUGUGAACCUAGCACUCUGCAAGGCAUUCAUUGGAUUAAAAAAUACAUUUCUAUUCAGUCCUUGAUCUUGAGGACUUCUCAGUCUAGUAGGCAAGGCAACAGUGUAAAGAAGAUAAAUGUUUAAAGUGGUAAGCGAAACAAAAGAGGUAUGUGUUGUACCUGGCAGGAUGGAAUUCAGAAUUAGUAGUGGACCUGCAGAGUGGGGUACCUGAUUCACUCUGUGUGGUGAUGGGCAGGGUAGCAGCAGAGGAUGAAGACUGGAUUUUGUUGGAGUAUGCUGUAAUCUGUGUGCAGGGGAUGGAAGAGGACUGAGCAUCUAUGACUGAAAUAAGCUGAUGAUUCUCUGAUCCAGAAGACGGCCUGGAUGCCCUUUUAUGACCCUGAGUUACUUUGGCCCUGAUAUCUCAAAGCCACCACUAAGUAUCUGAAUGUAUUAGCAGAAAUCUGUGGAAGAGGGAGUCACUAACCCUACUGGGAGUAGGGGUGGAGGUGGUAUCCCAGAAAAUGUGCCAUUUGAAUAGGGCAUAAAGUAUUUAGAGAGGCUCCCCUUGUGGGGAAGGGAAGUGAGGGCUUUCUGAGAAGAGCAAGGGUGAAUCUGACACCCUUGGAGAAGGCUAAUGAUGUGGUUGGAGCAGAGCACAGGGGAGAUGAGGUGGGGGAGGAAAGGUGAGGUUUGAGGGCACUUUGGGGCCAUUUGAAUGCUGGGCCAGGGAAUCUAGACCCUCUGCAGUGGGGCUUGCUGGGUUGUGGCCGAUUUAUGCAGCGAGGCAGUCUGGUAGAGUCUACACUAUAGAUGCGUCUCCCUGGGAACAGUAGAGGACUGCAGGGGGCUGGACUGAGAGCUCAGAUACAGGAGGCAAAGGGACAAAUGAGGCUGCUGCAACCACCAGAGAGAGACUGUGAGGCCUUCCUCAGGUUUCAUCCAACAGAACAGUCUGUACCCCUGCCCAAGCUGGUACCCAUGCCUCUCACCAGAUGCCCCAGCACAUAUUCAGAGAAAGAAACAAGGAAAAGGCCAAGAAUGAAUGAGUGUCUUAAAUGAAACCAGAUGUGUUCAAUGCUCCAGCACCUAGUAGAAUCUGAAGUGCACAUACUUGGAAUAAACACACAUAAAGACAUGAGAAGCAAGGAAGUGUAGAGUGAGGGUGAGUGUCUAGUCAAAGGGGCUGUGAAGAUGUUGUCUGUUCUUUCUGCAGUGCUAAUGUCUCUCUUGUGCCCAGGCGGGUGUAAAGCAGGGGUUCAUGACUUAACGCAUCCUCUCUAUAAGAACCUCUGCUCCCAUUCGUGAAGUUGCUGUUACGGUUCAUCAUGCGUGAUGCUCAGGGUACCACACACAUCGCCUUAGUUCAUCUUUACAACAACUACAAAGCAGGCUUUAUUGGCCCUGAGGUUGUGAGAGCUUAGGGAUUUGCCCAAGGUCACAGUAUGGUAAGUGUGACAUUGUGAUUUGAACUCCAGUCUGUCCAACUCUAAAGCCUUCUGCAUUAGUGAGUUCACUACUGAGGACAGAAGGUCCAUCAUUAUAGGAUAAGAAAUGCAUGCAAGUUGUUAACAUCACCUCCCUUUCUGCACAAAGACCCCGAUCCAGAGCCUUUACAUACCAAUGCGGACUGAAAAAUCAGACUUGGGGUAAGGAAGGAAAUGGUGGGAAAGAGAAAAAGAAGAAUACAAUAUCUACCUCCAAUUUUUGUUUUGGGUUUGUGUAAGCUCAUUAUCUCCUUUGGGUGUAAGAUUUUUCUUCAA